AACGAACGCUGGCGGCAUGCCUAACACAUGCAAGUCGAACGAAGGCUUCGGCCUUAGUGGCGCACGGGUGCGUAACGCGUGGGAAUCUGCCCUUUGGUUCGGAAUAACAGCUGGAAACGGCUGCUAAUACCGGAUGAUGACGAAAGUCCAAAGAUUUAUCGCCAGAGGAUGAGCCCGCGUUGGAUUAGGUAGUUGGUGGGGUAAAGGCCUACCAAGCCGACGAUCCAUAGCUGGUCUGAGAGGAUGAUCAGCCACACUGGGACUGAGACACGGCCCAGACUACUACGGGAGAAAGCAGUGGGGGAUAGAGAACAAUUGGCUAGAGCUGGAUCCAUCUAUGACGCGAGAGAGAGGGAGGCAAUAGGGUGGUAAAGCCCAUGUAAAGGGGAAGAUAAUGACGGUAACGAAAGAAUAAGACCCGGCUAACUCCGUG
rnacentral:rRNA from 1 species